AUGCUUUGGCAGCAUAUAAACUAAAACUGAAAUGAUACAGAGAAGAUCACCAUGACUCUUGUGCAAAGAGGACAUGUAAAUUCAUGAAGUGUUCCAUAUUUUA
rnacentral:snRNA from 1 species